GAUGAACGCUAGCUACAGGCUUAACACAUGCAAGUCGAGGGGCAGCAUCAUCAAAGCUUGCUUUGAUGGAUGGCGACCGGCGCACGGGUGAGUAACACGUAUCCAACCUGCCGACAACACUGGGAUAGCCUUUCGAAAGAAAGAUUAAUACCGGAUGGCAUAGUUUUCCCGCAUGGGAUAAUUAUUAAAGGAUUCCGGUAAAGGAUGGGGAUGCGUUCCAUUAGGUUGUUGGUGAGGUAACGGCUCACCAAGCCUUCGAUGGAUAGGGGUUCUGAGAGGAAGGUCCCCCACAUUGGAACUGAGACACGGUCCAAACUCCUACGGGAGGCAGCAGUGAGGAGUAUUGGUCAAUGGGCGCUAGCCUGAACCAGCCAAGUAGCGUGAAGGAUGAAGGCUCUAUGGGUCGUAAACUUCUUUUAUAUAAGAAUAAAGUGCAGUAUGUAUACUGUUUUGUAUGUAUUAUAUGAAUAAGGA
rnacentral:rRNA from 1 species